AGGACGCCCAGCGCGAGGUGCAGCGGCUGCGGAGCGCCAAAGAGCUCCUGAGAAGGGAGAAGAGCAACCUGGCCCACAGCCUGCAGGUGGCCCAGCAGCAGGCCAAGGAGCUGCGGCAGGAGCGGAAGAAGCUGCAGGCUGCCCAGGAGGAGCUGCGGCGCCAGCGGUACUGGCUGGGGGAAGAGCAGGAGGACGCAGUGCAGGAUGGUGUGCGGGUGCGCCGGGAGCUUGAGCACAGGUGAACAGCAUCUCGCCACCCUGCCAGGGCCCUUCAAAUGUGCCUCAGGUCCCCUGACAGUGCCCCGGGGGUUAGGGAGCACCCACUGGGUCCUGGGCCUCCUACCAUCUGGACCCCUCUGAUGUCGGGUUUUCUAACCAGACCCAUUGCAGGAAAUUGGGGCUCAGGGAGGUGUACUCACUUACCUGGGGUCAGAGAACUAGUUAAAAGGUAGAACUUGGAUGAUAAUAACAAGAAUAAUUAAAAUAACAGUAGUAAUAUUAACGAUAGUAUUUUUUAAAUUAAGUUAUGAUCAUAAUAAUAUCCUUACUGAUUUCACUAAGUGCCAGAUACCAUUUUAAGCAAUUCAGUUCUCUCAUUUAACCUAUGAUAACUGUGACAUAGAAGCUGUUAUCUUCAUUUUAUGGACGGUAAACUGAGGCACAGAGAAGCCAUGUCACUUGCCCCAGGUCACACAGCUAGUUAGAAGAGCCAGGAUUUGAACCCAGACAUUCUGCCUUUAGAGUUAACCUCUUCACCACUGCGCUGCUUACCUCUCAGGGACGUGAUCGCUGAUGAUGUUUAGUAGACUGUGGUGGAGCAUGUUAUUCUUGUUUCUGAAGGUCCUUGGGGAGAUGUGUCAGGCACUAUUUUAAGCACAUGUGAAGUUUGUAGCCUUAAAACAGGCUGGGCACGGUGGCUCACGCCUGUAAUCCCAGCACUUUGGGAGGCCGAGGCAGGCGAAUCGCCUGAGGUCAGGAGUUCGAGACCAGCCUGGUCAACAUGGGGAAACCCUGUCUGUACUAAAACUACAAAAAUUAGCCAGGCGUGGUGGUGCAUGCCUGUAAUCCCAGCUACUCGGGAGACUGAGGCAGGAGAAUGGCUUGAACCCAGGAGGCGGAGGUUGCAGUGAGCUGAGAUCUCACCACUGUACUCCAGCCUGAGCGACAGAGCGAGACUCUGUCUCAAAGAAAACAAAGAAACUAUGUGACAAGGUAGGUGUUACCUCAUUUUGCAGAUGUGGAAACGGAGGCCCAGGGUCAUGGAGCUAAGCAGUAGUGGGCUUGGUUGCCCUGUGGCUCAGGCUGUUUCUCUCCAAACUCCUGCCUCAGGCCUGGUCCACAGCCAAGCAUCUCGCUGGCUGUGGGAGAUUCGGGGCAGGAAAGUGACAUGGGCCACCCACCUGCCCUCUGUCCUGCAGCCAUAGACAACUGGAGCAGCUGGAAGGGAAGCGCUCAGUCCUGGCCAAGGAGCUGGUGGAGGUGAGGGAGGCGCUGAGCCGCGCCACACUGCAACGGGACAUGCUGCAGGCCGAGAAGGCCGAGGUGGCCGAGGCGCUGACCAAG
rnacentral:lncRNA from 1 species